rnacentral:rRNA from 1 species
CCUACGGGGGGCAGCAGUGGGGAAUAUUGCGCAAUGGGCGAAAGCCUGACGCAGCGACGCAGCGUGAGGGAUGAAGGUCUUCGGAUCGUAAACCUCUGUCAGCAGGGAAGAACGGUCACUGUGCUAAUCAGCAGUGAAUUGACGGUACCUGCAAAGGAAGCACCGGCUAACUCCGUGCCAGCAGCCGCGGUAAUACGGAGGGUGCGAGCGUUAAUCGGAAUUACUGGGCGUAAAGCGCUCGUAGGCGGUAUGUCAAGUCAAGGGUGAAAUCCCCGCGCUCAACGUGGGAAGUGCCUCUGAAACUGGCAAACUGGAGUGUGUGAGAGGAUAGUGGAAUUCCAGGUGUAGGAGUGAAAUCCGUAGAUAUCUGGAGGAACAUCAGUGGCGAAGGCGACUAUCUGGAACAUAACUGACGCUGAGGAGCGAAAGCGUGGGUAGCAAACAGGAUUAGAUACCCUUGUAGUC